rnacentral:rRNA from 1 species
UACGUAGGCAGCGAGCGUUGUUCGGAGUUACUGGGCGUAAAGGGUGUGUAGGCGGUUGUUUAAGUUUGGUGUGAAAUCUCCCGGCUCAACUGGGAGGGUGCGCCGAAUACUGAAUGACUAGAGUGCGGGAGAGGAAAGUGGAAUUCCUGGUGUAGCGGUGAAAUGCGUAGAUAUCGGGAGGAACACCAGUGGCGAAGGCGGCUUUCUGGGCCUUACCUGACGCUGAGACGCGAAAGCGUGGGGAGCGAACCGG